AUUAACUUUUGAAGCAUGCAAAUUUACGAUUUUGCCUUUACUAAUAAUUAUAUCCGAAUUAAAAAAUAUAUUUAAUACUAUAAGAAAGAAAGAAAAGCAAGCACUUUACCUUUUGUCGGGUUUCUCCACCUACGGCGAAACGCUCUCCUCGUCGUCUCCUUCACCUCCAUCUCCGAUGGUUCCUUUUCCCUCACAACCAGCUUCGUCUCCAUCACCAGCGUGACUUCUUCGUCUCUUCCUACUCGACAAACCCGAAAUCGAUUUCGCCUCAAUCACAUCCAGCUUCAACUACAAGUUACUCUAACCUGUGACUCUUUAAUCUAUGCUAAUCGAAUUGUUGUUAUCAUAGAUAAAUUGAUUGCAUCUUGAAAUUUUGAAACCCUAAUUCCCAGUUUCAUCUCACUGACUUUCAGAUCUGUUAAUUGUAUUUGAUGAAUUAACAUUCGCUCUCUGUUUUUAUUUAAAGUUGUAUAAACUAGUAACUUGGUUUCGGAUUGUUUGAAAUUGUUUUCUCUUAGGGUCUGAUGAGAUACGUACGUGAUAUUGGCAAGAUAAUAGUAACAGUUCCAGAACAAAUUUUCUGGGAAGAAAAACAACUAUUUCUUGGUGAAACAGUUCGGCAGAGGCAAUGCUAAUGUUUAAUUUACCAAAGAGAGUAACAACCUCUGCAAACUCAACUCUUACAGGCACUCUGGUUACACACAACUCUUUUAUUUUCCUCUAAAGUCUUGUUAAUCUGUUGGAUAAAAUGUUGUUUAAGGACACAAGUUACUGCCUUUAGGUUUGGCGUACCAGAAGACGGUGACAAGGAGAAAGGUGUGGUACUUGGAACCACCAAGACAGAAACAAAACAAGCUUAAGCUCUAUGUUAACAAGUUUAUAGGUUAUAAAGAUUUUUCGUGGGCAGUUUAGUUUCUUGCUUGCAACACCUCCAUUGUUAUGUUCUUUUUCUUAAAAUGAUAUUAAAAAAAAACUAGUAAGCUGGUUGCUGUCCACAUUCCUUGUCCACAGACAAGUAAUACUAGUAGCUGCUCUUUGAUGA